GACGAACGCUGGCGGCGUGCUUAACACAUGCAAGUCGAACGGAAAGGCCCUGCCUUUGUGGGGUGCUCGAGUGGCGAACGGGUGAGUAACACGUGAGUAACCUGCCCUUGACUUUGGGAUAACUUCAGGAAACUGGGGCUAAUACCGGAUAGGAGCUCCUGUUGCAUGGUGGGGGUUGGAAAGUUUCGGCGGUUGGGGAUGGACUCGCGGCUUAUCAGCUUGUUGGUGGGGUAGUGGCUUACCAAGGCUUUGACGGGUAGCCGGCCUGAGAGGGUGACCGGCCACAUUGGGACUGAGAUACGGCCCAGACUCCUACGGGAGGCAGCAGUGGGGAAUAUUGCACAAUGGGCGGAAGCCUGAUGCAGCAACGCCGCGUGCGGGAUGACGGCCUUCGGGUUGUAAACCGCUUUCGCCUGUGACGAAGCGUGAGUGACGGUAAUGGGUAAAGAAGCACCGGCUAACUACGUG
rnacentral:rRNA from 1 species